AUGGCGGGCUGCGGGCGGCAAUGGCGCUGGGGGCUGCGGCUCCGCUCCGCUCGGUCUCCGCGGCGAGUGCGGCGGGGCCGGGCGGCCCCGGCAGGCAGAGCACGGGGCGGGACGGGCUCUUCCUCCGCCCCCGACAAGAUGGCGCGGCCCCGGCCCCGCUGCCUCAGGGCUCGGCCGCCAUGGCGGCCCCGGUGCUCGGCAGGGGGAAACAGCCGCGUGUUCCCUGACGAUGGAGUCCAGCAAUUAAGAAGAACCCAGCACUCCUGUUUAUGGAUAGCAGGAAUAUCUUCCACUGGAUUACACAAAAUAAAAAUGAAACCCCUGCUGUUUCAACAGGGGCCUAGGAGCUUCUCCCUCUGGAAUAUGGAGUGGUAACUGAGGGGAGGCCUGGUCAGAGCCUGGGUUUCACUUUCUGAGUUGAGGAAAGCAAAUGUGAGCAGCCCUUGGUUAAAAUGCCACCUCCAGCAGCUGCUGGGGAACCCUUGAGCCACGGGAAUGUUUCGUUACCUCUGGGACACCCGUGACUUGCUGUUCCCCCAAUGCCAGGUGGAAAUCGAGGCAAAAAAACCCCCGUGUUUCUUUCUCAGAAAAAAAGUGUUUAUUUCUCAGAACCCAGAUGGGCUCUGCCAGCCGCGCCCAGCCCCCGGUUUGUCACCUGCAAAAUGGAGAGGAAUUUUUACGACGUUUAAUUAGUGCAAAGUGCUCUCGGUAGCCAAGAGAGCUUUCGGUCCGAGCAUCUCGGGCCAAGUUCUCAAAUUGCGGCGGCUCCAGCAGCGACCCACGGGGCUGAGCCCCUGCAGGGAGCAUCGGCAGCGCCUGGGUCCGUGUGGUGAAUAAAUGAGAACAGGACAGAGCUGCGGGUGCUGCC
rnacentral:lncRNA from 1 species